ensembl:lncRNA
UCAGCUUGGGAGGGAGGGAGUUUCACCUUCAGCUUGGGAGGGAGGGAGUUUCACCUUCAGCUUGGGAGUGAGGGAGUUUCACCUUCAGCUGGGAGUGAGGGAGUUUUCACCUUCAGCUUGGGAGGGAGUUUCACCUUCAGCUGGGGAGGGAGUUCACACCAUCAGCUUGGGAGGGAGUUUCACCUUCAGCUGGGGAGGGAGGGUGUUUCACCUUCAGCUUGCGAGGGAGGGAGUUUCACCUUCAGCUUGCGAGGGAGGGAGUUUCACCUUCAGCUUGGGAGGGAGUUUCACCAUCAGCUUGGGAGGGAGGGAGUUUCACCUUCAGCUUGGGAGGGAGGGAGUAACACCUUCAGCUUGGGAGGGAGUUUCACCUUUCACCAUAUUACCUAACACUAGUCCACGUUAGAUCCAUGAGGGAGGGACAGUUCAGUGUGGGAGGUGGCAGAACUGAACUAGGUUUUUAGUAUGCCACGGCAGCCAUUUUGUAAUGUGUGUCGGCUGCAUUAAAGAAGCAACACCACGAUCCCCCCCCCAAAACAACAUACCUCACGAUCUAACGGCUCAACCAGCAGACUGGAGCUGGACCUACGCGGCCCCGAUGACAACAUACACCCCCCCCCCAUAGUGUCAAACUCAUUCCACUGGAGGGGUCGAGUGUCUGUGGUUUUUCGUUCCUGAUUUAAUUGAAUUAAAAAGGUCACUAAUUAGUAAGGAACUCCCCCCUCACCUGGUUGUCUAGGUCUUUAAUUGAAAGGGGAAAAGCCAGCGGUCACUAGGGCCCUGCUUGGAAUCAGUUUGACCCCCCCCCUGCCCUAUUUAGUGCCCUACCAGAGCCGCUCCGGUCAAGAGUAGUGCACAAGGUGCUAUUUGUGACUUAAACCCUACUUACUUCAUAUCGACUCUGUCCAGAAGCUACGGGCUCAUCUCGAAGGACACCGUACCCCUGACGUAGGACACGACUCUGGGCCGUUGCGUGGUGAAGAGGACGUGAUGCAGGAUGUCUUUCAGUACGCACCGGGAUCCGGGAACCCGUAGUGUGACGUUUUAAAGAUAAUGUGAUCUCUGCUACCGGGGAACGGUGCCUUGAAGCCUUCUUUUAAACAAUGUUGUUGUUGUUGUUGUUGGACUUUUCUGUCUGUUCCUUGGUUUCUUAGUUUUCACCCAGAGCAUUAAUGAAUUAAACAUGUGAAUGAAAUCAGACCUGCCUGUCGUGUGUGAACAUUAUUAACCCUGUACAUCCCACUACCCCCCCCCAGGGGUUAUUAACCCUGUACACCCCACUACCCCCCCAGGGGUUAUUAACCCUGUACACCCCACCCUCCCAAGAUUGCUCUAUGGGUGGACAUGUCUG